rnacentral:rRNA from 1 species
UCUGGUGAUGAUGGUUUAGAGGGUAACACUCCUUUCCAUUCCGAACAGGCAAGUUAAGCCUCUAGACGCCGAGAGUACUGCACGGGUGACUGUGUGGGAGGGUAGGUUGUUGCCAGAU